rnacentral:rRNA from 1 species
GUGGGGAAUAUUGGUCAAUGGGGGAAACCCUGAACCAGCGACGCCGCGUGAGUGAAGAAGUAUUUCGGUAUGUAAAGCUCUAUCAGCAGGGACGAUAAUGACGGUACCUGACUAAGAAGCCCCGGCUAACUACGUGCCAGCAGCCGCGGUAAUACGUAGGGGGCAAGCGUUAUCCGGAUUUACUGGGUGUAAAGGGAGUGUAGGUGGCCGUGCAAGUCAGAUGUGAAAUCCCGGGGCUCAACCCCGUGACUGCAUUUGAAACUGCGUGGCUGGAGUGCAGGAGAGGUAAGCGGAAUUCCUAGUGGAGCGGUGAAAUGCGUAGAUAUUAGGAGGAACACCGGUGGCGAAGGCGGCUUACUGGACUGUAACUGACACUGAGGCUCGAAAGCGUGGGGAGCAAACAGG